UUUUCCUGCCGUUGGCUCAAUUAUGAUGCGAUGCAUUGGAUGGUUGGGAAAACGUAAAAUACUGGUUUUUAACUUUUCUUGGCUUUUGUUAGAAAGCUAUGUAUUAAAAAAAAAUUAAAAAAAAAAAAACUCGACGGAAAAUGAUGCCACUAAGGGAAUAUCAAACGCACUCUUAUAUGCUACGAAUCGAUUGAGAUUUGGAACCAUCCAGUAAAAUAUAUUACAUGUGUUUUGAGUCAAUUUUAGUCUCUAGUGUCAUUGUGAAUCUUAAAUAAAUUUAUACGUGGGAUACAUUAAUUGAAUGGAUGCAGAAUAAUAUAGUAAAUUUUACUAUACUAAAUAUUUUCAUCUAGGAAAUUUUACUAUACUAAAUAUUUUAUUAAACAAAGACUGACUCAUUUUAAAGUCUAUUGCAAACUUCCAUAUGAUGAUGACUUACUUUGCCUAACCUAUUUUAAAGGAGAGGAACUUGCCAUGAACAAUCAUCUUGUUAUCACAUAACAAUUUGAUUAAAUUAUGUACAUGGAACAACUCGUUCGCAAAACUUCGAUGAUCAAUCUAAUACUUCCAUGACCAAUACAAUUAGCCAAGUUACUUGUGAUAAAACUGAAGGGCUUCAUCUUUCUCCCUCAAUUUUCUCGGAAACAAAACAAACCACAACCAGAACAGACGAACAUUAUGCCAAAAUUACAAAAGCCCCCACUUAAAAAACCAAAAAAUGCUUAAAAAAAAAAAAGUCUUACUUGCAAAACCUCAAGCUGGUAUUGUAAAUCAUCAAGAGCUGUCUGAAUUGCAUUCAAGCUCUUAGCCUCUUCAGUCGUCGAUGCCGAAUCAUAUAUCUAGAAAGACGAUUCUUGCCAUUGUCUUCAAUUACUCAAUAAGGUCAUAUUGUGAUUACACAAAAGAAAAAUCUAAAAAGUUGUUGAGAUAAGUGCGAUUCAAACUCUUAGCCUCUUGAAUCGCCCACCCAAAUCGCAUUGGAGCUGGUCUCUAUUACUUUUUGCCUUUCUCUUUUGCGAUGGUUAAUUAGGGAUUGCUUUUUCCUUUUGCAA
rnacentral:lncRNA from 1 species